rnacentral:rRNA from 1 species
CCGCGCCGGGAGGGGCCUGCGGCCUAUCAGCUAGACGGUGGGGUAACGGCUCACCGUGGCGAUGACGGGUAGCUGGUCUGAGAGGACGAUCAGCCACACGGGGACUGAGACACGGCCCCG